AAAAUGGUAAAAUAACUUUUCGUGUCCCCAUAGAAAAAGACGGUAAUACCCCUAAUUAAACCGCACCCUUUCAUUCCAAACCCUAAAAUUACCCAGAGCACACACGACAUCCUCCCUCAACCCCAUCGCCCUUUCUCUCUCAACCUUUUCGAAUCUGCUCUUCAAUGGCUUUCCUCUACUCAGAAAUUCAACAAAACGUGAUUCUCCGGCUGCGAGGAUCAACUAUUUGGUGAAGACUAAUAUCCCUCAAACUCUCUCCGCCUUCAUGUCCGUCCGGCACGUCGAAUUCCAGAACCACAAAUCUGGAAAGUAGAAGUUCCCAAAACAAUAAUGAAUUGCAAAUCUGGAAUUGAAUCCUACUUUUGCUCCAAUCGAAUUUUUGUCCGCUCCAAUUAGGGUUCUAUAAAUUUGGGUGAAAUUCCUGGGUUUGAUCGAUCUUCUUCAAAUAUCGGGAAUUUAGUUAAUUUUUUAGUUUGUUGAGGUUUCUGCAAUUUGUUUUUGAGAAAAUGGGAAAGCGUGGAAAUAAUUAGAAGAAAGCCCCUCAGGAUUUGAAGAAAAUGAAGCUAUUCUGAAAAAAUUCAAUAAUAUGGAGGAUGAAAUUGAUGUCUAUAAUGGUGGGAUCAAAAAAUAUGACAGUGUUUCCGGACUUUCUGAGGAACCGACAGAUGCAUUUAUAUAACAAAAUCUUUUCCAUGGCAGAUGUUAUUGUCACUCCGACAAACUGGGUA